CAUUGUACGUGAAUGCAUCAUCAAUUAAAAAAAAUCCAAUAGUAUAAUACCCUUAUAUCACAAAUGUAACGUCUUUAAAACUUUUUUAUACAACCACUUUACUAAUCAUUUUUACAUUAAAAUAUGUUGUAACCUUUUCCUGGACAUAAACAUUGAUUUCUGUAGAGUUUAAAGCAGUCCUACCCGAGAUUGUCAAUUCCUUUAACCCAGAAGUCAAUUCCCUUAAAUCCAAAUCUUUCAGUUUCCCUCUGACUGGCCGAUGGGAGGUUAUAAACACGGAAUUCCCCUGUUUGUAGAACCAUUAAGUCAACAAUACAGCAAGUCCUCCAGAGGCUCAGCGGGGACGGACGGAUGCAGGUCUCUUCGGGUUGGAGCCUGCAGUAAUUAAACACAUCCAUCAGAUCAUGACAGUGUUGUCAGGAACGGCACACCGGGGAACGGUAACCAUGACAACCGCGAGGCAGCCACUGGUUUCCCGAUCCUUUCACGCCAUCAAUAUAUGAAACUUGCUUCAGAGAGCCAAUCCAUCACAAUGGCAACACACUCUCCUGUGUUCGGUAAUAGGUGGAUGUUUAUUUUUCUUGAAAGAGGUGUCAACCCUUUAUAAACAAUGGUAAAUUCAGCAAAGGGUGGAGUCAGUUAUAAUCCAUGUUACAUCUGCAGCUUAAGUCCUUUUGGAAUUUCAAAUGUGUGGACGAUUCAAAGUGAGUAAACAUUGAGAUUAAGCACCCAUUAAGUCUGCACCUGGAGUAGUAGAAAGAAGGCAGCAUGAUUAUAUCUCACUGCUAUCACCUAUUCAUUAUUUAAUUCUUACUUUCAUAAAUAAAUAUCAGUUAAAAUCCACAAUUGUGUGUGUCUUCCUUCCUUGUUAGGUAGCUAGCCAGCCGUAACAUUACUCUUAUCAUUGAAUGUAUUGUUGUUACCUUAUAAAUGUUUCCAGGAAAUAAAGUAGUAGACAAUAUUAUAA